ACUAGGACACAUGGGGACACAGACACUGGGAGACCUGGGGACACAGACACUUGGGGACACUGGAAAACAUGGGGACACUGGGACACAUGAGGAUGCUGAGACACAUGGGGACAUUGGGAGACACUAUGUUCCCAUGUCCCCCAGCCAGUGUCCCUAGUGUCUCAGUGUCCCCAGUCUCCCAGUGUCUGUGUUCCAUGUCUCUUAGUG